rnacentral:rRNA from 1 species
GAUGAACGCUAGCUACAGGCUUAACACAUGCAAGUCGAGGGGAAACGCCAUCUUAAGCUUGCUUUUUAUGGGCGUCGACCGGCGCACGGGUGAGUAACGCGUAUCCAACCUGCCCAUCACUUGGGAAUAACCUUUCGAAAGUAAGACUAAUACCCAAUGACAUCCCACGAAGACAUCUGAAUGUGAUUAAAGAUUUAUCGGUGAUGGAUGGGGAUGCGUCUGAUUAGCUUGUUGGCGGGGUAACGGCCCACCAAGGCAACGAUCAGUAGGGGUUCUGAGAGGAAGGUCCCCCACAUUGGAACUGAGACACGGUCCAAACUCCUACGGGAGGCAGCAGUGAGGAAUAUUGGUAAAUGGGCGAGAGCCUGAACCAGCCAAGUAGCGUGCAGGAUGACGGCCCUAUGGGUUGUAAACUGCUUUUAUAAGGGAAUAAAGUGGGUCUCGGGAGACUUUUUGCAUGUACCUUAUGAAUAAGGACCGGCUAAUUCCGUG